GAUGAACGCUGGCGGCGUGCCUAAUACAUGCAAGUCGAGCGAACAGACGAGGAGCUUGCUCCUCUGACGUUAGCGGCGGACGGGUGAGUAACACGUGGAUAACCUACCUAUAAGACUGGGAUAACUUCGGGAAACCGGAGCUAAUACCGGAUAAUAUAUUGAACCGCAUGGUUCAAUAGUGAAAGACGGUUUUGCUGUCACUUAUAGAUGGAUCCGCGCCGCAUUAGCUAGUUGGUAAGGUAACGGCUUACCAAGGCAACGAUGCGUAGCCGACCUGAGAGGGUGAUCGGACACACUGGAACUGAGACACGGUCCAGACUCCUACGGGAGGCAGCAGUAGGGAAUCUUCCGCAAUGGGCGAAAGCCUGACGGAGCAACGCCGCGUGAGUGAUGAAGGUCUUCGGAUCGUAAAACUCUGUUAUUAGGAAAGAACAAAUGUGUAAGUAACUAUGCACGUCUUGACGGUACCUAAUCAGAAAGCCACGGCUAACUACGUG
rnacentral:rRNA from 1 species